rnacentral:snRNA from 1 species
GUGCUCACUUCGGCAGCACAUACACUAAAACUGGAACGAUACGGAGAAGAUUAGCGUGGCCCCCGCGCAAGGGUGACACGCGAAUUCGUGAAGCGUUCCAUAUUUUU